UGGGGAAUAUUGCACAAUGGGCGCAAGCCUGAUGCAGCCAUGCCGCGUGUAUGAAGAAGGCCUUCGGGUUGUAAAGUACUUUCAGUGGGGAGGAAGGCGAUAAGGUUAAUAACCUUGUCGAUUGACGUUACCCGCAGAAGAAGCACCGGCUAACUCCGUGCCAGCAGCCGCGGUAAUACGGAGGGUGCAAGCGCUAAUCGGAAUUACUGGGCGUAAAGCGCACGCAGGCGGUCUGUCAAGUCGGAUGUGAAAUCCCCGGGCUCAACCUGGGAACUGCAUUCGAAACUGGCAGGCUAGAGUCUUGUAGAGGGGGGUAGAAUUCCAGGUGUAGCGGUGAAAUGCGUAGAGAUCUGGAGGAAUACCGGUGGCGAAGGCGGCCCCCUGGACAAAGACUGACGCUCAGGUGCGAAAGCGUGGGGAGCAAACA
rnacentral:rRNA from 1 species